UACAGACGGUCCAAACGUUAUUCGGAAUCACUGGGCUUAAAGAGUUCGUAGGCGGUCAGGAAAGUGGGGUGUGAAAGCCCUCGGCUUAACCGAGGAAUUGCGCUCCAAACUCCCUGACUUGAGGAGGCUAGAGGUAGGCGGAACUGAUGGUGGAGCGGUGAAAUGCGUUGAUAUCAUCAGGAACACCGGAGGCGAAGGCGGCUUACUGGGGCCUUUCUGACGCUGAGGAACGAAAGCUAGGGGAGCGAACGGG
rnacentral:rRNA from 1 species